CCAGUUAUUUUACUCCCGAUCUCCUCAUGUUUUUGACUGGUCGUGUCCUUCUUCUUCCAAAUCGAGUCACAACGGCUGAGCUCCAGCAAAUCCCUAACCCUAAUGGCUUGCAGAUGGCGACGGCGGCGUAGAUCCUGUACCUAGCCGGGCUAGUUUGUCUGCUGGGGGAAGCUUCCCAUCUCUGCCCCAAGCUGUACCUAGCUGUGCUACAAGAGGAAUCCUGGUCGUCUCGCCGCCGGCGGUCGGACUGCCCGGGCGGACCUCUCCUGUUCGGCGCCGCGACGUUGGCUGAGCGAAUCUCCAGUAGGUCAACUCCACAAGGCUCCCCCUCCCCUUGUGUGCCUAGCUCCGACAUCUGCUGACGACAGAGAAGAAAUCUUGAGUCUUCACGAAAGCAGCACAUCAACCUCCAUGAGCAAGAAGUACCAACACUGAAGAUGGUCAUGUCCAUGCUGCCAGAUUACGAGGAGAGAGCAAGUCUUGCUUGCAGCCAAACCCGCUGUAACUGAGUGGUCUAUCGACUUGUAGCUCAUGGACCAGUCCUCACUGAGAAUUGAUGAGAAUUAUGUAAUUGUGUAUAUGGUACUGUAGUUGUUAACCUGUUGUAUGUGUGUUCCUACUUAUUAAUUCUCCCUGUUUCGCUUCC